UCGAGGAUAUUUAGCAAUGGACGAAAGUCUGACUAUGUGACGCCGCGUGAGGGAUGAAGGUCUUCGGAUCGUAAACCUCUUUCGAUGGGGAAGAAAACCUGUUCUUAACGGAACAGACUGACGGUACCCAGAGAAGAAGCCACGGCCAACUCUGUGCCAGCAGCCGCGGUAAUACGGAGGGUGCAAGCGUUAUUCGGAAUUACUGGGCGUAAAGGGCGUGCAGGCGGGAGAGCAAGUCUGAUGUGAAAGCCCGGGGCUUAACCCCGGAAGGGCAUUGGAAACUGCUUUUCUUGAGUUCUGGAGAGGAAGGGAGAAUUCCCGGUGUAGAGGUGAAAUUCGUAGAGAUCGGGAGGAACAUCAGUGGCGAAGGCGCCCUUCUGGACAGCAACUGACGCUGAGACGCGAAAGCGUGGGGAGCAAACA
rnacentral:rRNA from 1 species